rnacentral:snoRNA from 1 species
AUGUCUAUGGCCAUUGCUCGGUUAGCCAAACUUGAGGGCUGAUCUUGAGCCGGAUGCUCAUGCUUCGGUAUGCGUACAAGACGAGAACAAAGUCUGACAACGCUCUUUGAGUACGAGACCCUCAAGUGCUUUCACUACAUGGGGGUUUUCGUAAUUCAGUGUUGUUACAGUA